rnacentral:rRNA from 1 species
AGUCGAGCGGAGAUGAGGUGCUUGCACCUUAUCUUACGGCGGACGGGUGAGUAAUGCUUAGGAAUCUGCCUAUUAGUGGGGGACAACAUUCCGAAAGGAAUGCUAAUACCGCAUACGUCCUACGGGAGAAAGCAGGGGAUCUUCGGACCUUGCGCUAAUAGAUGAGCCUAAGUCGGAUUAGCUAGUUGGUGGGGUAAAGGCCUACCAAGGCGACGAUCUGUAGCGGGUCUGAGAGGAUGAUCCGCCACACUGGGACUGAGACACGGCCCAGACUCCUACGGGAGGCAGCAGUGGGGAAUAUUGGACAAUGGGGGAACCCUGAUCCAGCCAUGCCGCGUGUGUGAAGAAGGCCUUAUGGUUGUAAAGCACUUUAAGCGAGGAGGAGGCUACUGAGACUAAUACUCUUGGAUAGUGGACGUUACUCGCAGAAUAAGCACCGGCUAACUCUGUGCCAGCAGCCGCGGUAAUACAGAGGGUGCGAGCGUUAAUCGGAUUUACUGGGCGUAAAGCGUGCGUAGGCGGCUUUUUAAGUCGGAUGUGAAAUCCCCGAGCUUAACUUGGGAAUUGCAUUCGAUACUGGGAAGCUAGAGUAUGGGAGA